GAUGUGAGUUUAAUGUGGCUUUUGUGCCUUUAUAAUUUAUUUGGUUGAAAUGAGAUAUAUAUUGUUUGAAAGUUAACAGAUUGUUUUGUGUUACGUUAGAUACCUGAGUUUAAUAUGUGAAGGAGAAAAGGCAAAUUCCAGAUUGUGGAUGCAUAAAGAUAAAAAAUCAUCCACCAACUGCCAUCCAACUUCACACCUUGACUUUAAUAAAUUGUUGGAACGGC